rnacentral:rRNA from 1 species
UACGUAGGCAGCAAGCGUUGUUCGGAGUUAUUGGGCGUAAAGAGCGUGUAGGCGGCUAGGUAGGUCCGCUGUUAAAACUCGAGGCUUAACCUCGAGAGGUCGGUGGAAACCAUCUGGCUAGAGUCCGGAAGAGGAGAGUGGAAUUCCUGGUGUAGCGGUGAAAUGCGCAGAUAUCAGGAAGAACACCCGUGGCGAAGGCGGCUCUCUGGGACGGUACUGGACGCUGAGACGCGAAAGCGUGGGGAGCGAACAGG